GGAGUGCUCAGCUGGGAGAGCGCUUGAAUGGCAUUCAAGAGGUCAGCGGUUCGAUCCCGCUUAUCUCCACCA
rnacentral:tRNA from 1 species